UUUUUUGCAGCAGAAGGCAAAGUAACUGCAAGCCUUGAGACAUAAAUUGCAUUUUACUGUUUCUGACUUUUGAGAGGCCAUGUUCAGCAGAGUGAGAGGGUGCUCUGGAUGAAAAGGAUUCUGGAUCUCUUGUGGCAAUUGUGCACAUGAUUUGUGUAAAAAGAAAUUGCACUUACUACAACCAUAGGCAUUGCCCCGGCAGCAUUCUCCACAUUCAUAGCAAUAAGCUUCAUCAGUAGCUUUCUUUUCACUGAAUAUCAGUGGAUGGCCAUGGAAGAAAUGCUGAAUUUUUGUAUGGCCACCGGAUUCUACAGUAGGCAGUAGGGCACAUUCGAGACAUAUCUGGAAAUAACACUCACCACAGCGAAAUGUCAAGCCCGAGCAAUCCU
rnacentral:misc_RNA from 1 species